GAUGUAUAGUCAAGUAAUUAAGUGCAUGUGGUGGAUGCCUUGGCAGUCAGAGGUGAUGAAAGACGUGAUAGCCUGCGAAAAGCUCCGGGGAGGCGGCAAAUAUCCUUUGAUCCGGAGAUGUCUGAAUGGGGGAACCCACCUACUUUAAGGUAGGUAUUGCAACAUGAAUACAUAGUGUUGCAAGGCGAACGAGGGGAAGUGAAACAUCUCAGUACCCUUAGGAAAAGAAAUCAAUUGAGAUUCCCUCAGUAGCGGCGAGCGAACGGGGAUCAGCCCAUUAAGUUAUGUGUGUUUUAGUGGAACGCUCUGGGAAGUGCGAACGUAGAGGGUGAUAUUCCCGUACACGAAAGGGCACACAUAAUGAUGACGAGUAGGGCGAGGCACGUGAAACCUUGUCUGAAUAUGGGGGGACCAUCCUCCAAGGCUAAAUACUCCUGACUGACCGAUAGUGAACCAGUACCGUGAGGGAAAGGCGAAAAGAACCCCUGUGAGGGGAGUGAAAUAGAUCCUGAAACCGCAUGCAUACAAGCAGUGGGAGCACCUUCGUGGUGUGACUGCGUACCUUUUGUAUAAUGGGUCAGCGACUUAUAUUCAGUAGCGAGGUUAACCGUAUAGGGG
rnacentral:rRNA from 1 species